ensembl:lncRNA
CGUCAACUCAAGAAUAAUUGUUGUCAUUCUGAUCUAAACUUUCCAGUCUCUCUGAAGUAAAGACCAAAUUAAAAUGAAGGCAGAUCGCUCCUAAGGACAGAUUUUCAAAUCCAAAGAAAAGAUUAUUUACUUCCACAAAGAUUUUGAAAAAUCCCAUUCUGAAUUGUUUGUGGACAUUACAUCAGAUGACGGCAGAAUUUUUGAAAGAGGACGGAGGACCCAUCUAGCAUCAGUUUUCCAUCCUCCACAAACUCCUUUUCCCACACUCUGACAAGUUGCCCCAGUCUUGGCGUUCACUUAGGUAGCUCUGGAAUUUGGGAAGAUCCUCACAUCUAAGCAAAUAGAAGGGGCAGAGCAGC